UACGGAGGAUCCAAGCGUUAUCCGGAUUUAUUGGGUUUAAAGGGUGCGCAGGCGGAAGAUUAAGUCGGUGGUGAAAUUUUGCAGCUCAACUGUAAAAGUGCCAUUGAUACUGGUUUUCUUGAGUGUGGAUGAAGUAGGCGGAAUUUGUGGUGUAGCGGUGAAAUGCAUAGAUAUCACGAGGAACUCCGAUUGCGCAGGCAGCUUACUAAACCAUAACUGACGCUCAGGCACGAAGGCGUGGGGAGCAAACAGGAUUAGAUACCCCGGUA
rnacentral:rRNA from 1 species